rnacentral:rRNA from 1 species
CCUACGGGAGGCAGCAGUGAGGAAUAUUGGUCAAUGGGCGCGAGCCUGAACCAGCCAAGUCGCGUGAGGGAAGACGGUCCUAUGGAUUGUAAACCUCUUUUGUCGGGGAGCAAAAGACGCCACGCGUGGCGUUCCGAGAGUACCCGAAGAAAAAGCAUCGGCUAACUCCGUGCCAGCAGCCGCGGUAAUACGGAGGAUGCGAGCGUUAUCCGGAUGUAUUGGGUUUAAAGGGUGCGCAGGCGGAAGAGCAAGUCAGCGGUAAAAUUGAGGGGCUCAACCUCUUCGAGCCGUUGAAACUGGUUUUCUUGAGUGAGUGAGAAGUAUGCGGAAUGCGUGGUGUAGCGGUGAAAUGCAUAGAUAUCACGCAGAACUCCGAUUGCGAAGGCAGCAUACCGGCGCUCAACUGACGCUCAUGCACGAAAGUGUGGGUAUCGAACAGGAUUAGAUACCCCUGUAGUC